UUCACAAUUGCCGCCAUUACCUCCUACUACCUUCAAAUCUCGUCUGUCUUCUUCCCUCCCCCUCAACAACAACAACAUCUACUACUACUACUACUACUACUACUGUUGCUGCAAAGCAACCCAACGACAACAAUACCGCCACCUCUUCCUCUCUGCCAACCCCUCCGCCUCCUCCUCCUCCUUUCCCCUCUUUCUUAUCAUCUUCCGCCUCCUCCCCUUCUCCUUCUCUCCCUCUUUGCUCUACCUCCCAUUAGUUAUUCGGUCCGCUUCCAUCUGGCAUCUUCUUACCGUUUUCUUCCUUUGGAACGAAACCACAACAUCGAUAUUUCCAGGAGCUGGGUCCUUCCAUCUGGCACCACGUGGAGGUAAUUUCAUUACUGGACUUCUUGUUACCAGCUGUCAACGGUU